rnacentral:rRNA from 1 species
CCCGUCACAUCAUGAAAGCCGUUUGUACCCGAAGUCACCGUGCUAACUCGCAAGAGAGGCAGGUGCCGAAGGUAUGGAUGGGUGAUUGGGGAUG